rnacentral:misc_RNA from 1 species
GAUGAAGAACGUAGCGAAUUGCGAUAUGUAAUGUGAAUUGCAGAUUUUCAGUGAAUCAUCGAAUCUUUGAACGCACAUUGCGCCCCUUGGUAUUCCGAGGGGCAUGCCUGUUCGAGCGUCAUUAUAACCCUCAAGCUCAGCUUGGUGUUGGGGCCUGCUGCACUGGCAGCCCUUAAAAUCAGUGGCGGCGCCAUCUGGCUCUAAGCGUAGUAAUUCUUCUCGCUAUGGAGUCCUGGUGGAUGCUUGCCAUCAACCCCCAAUUUUUCUAUGGUUGACCUCGGAUCAGGUAGGGAUACCCGCUGAACUUAAGCAUAUCAAUAAGCGGAGGA